UACGUAGGGGGCGAGCGUUAUCCGGAAUUAUUGGGCGUAAAGGGUUCGCAGGCGGCCUUGUAAGUCAGAUGUGAAAGACAGCGGCUUAACCGUUGUAAGCAUUUGAAACUGCAGGGCUUGAGUACAGGAGAGGAAAGCGGAAUUCCUAGUGUAGCGGUGAAAUGCGUAGAUAUUAGGAGGAACACCAGUGGCGAAGGCGGCUUUCUGGACUGAUACUGACGCUGAGGAACGAAAGCGUGGGGAGCAAACAGGAUUAGAUACCCGGGUAGUCCCUGA
rnacentral:rRNA from 1 species